CCUUUUUGGUCCAAUAUAUGACUGACCAAGUUUAUUCAUGACUUUUUAAGGGUUGUUUGGCUGGUUAGCCGGAUAAACUCGCAUUAUUGACUAGCAUCCAAAGAUAGCCUAAAUCUUUUAGCUCUUAGAAUUAAAAUGCUUUGUGAAGGUAGGUGCCUUAAUUGCAGGAAUGGCACUUAAUAGAAUGAAAUCAGCUGUAAAAGGGAGAUUUGGACAACAUGUAGGACUCGUUUGGUUGAUGGAACGUGGAGGGGGGAAGAGAGUUUUUGGGAAGC
rnacentral:lncRNA from 1 species